rnacentral:rRNA from 1 species
UACGUAGGUGGCAAGCGUUGUCCGGAUUUACUGGGCGUAAAGAGCGCGCAGGCGGUCGUUCAAGUCGCGUGUGAAAGCCCCCGGCUCAACUGGGGAGGGUCACGCGAUACUGAUCGACUCGAAGGCAGGAGAGGGUAGUGGAAUUCCUGGUGUAGCGGUGAAAUGCGCAGAUAUCAGGAAGAACACCCGUGGCGAAAGCGGCUCUCUGGGCCUUGCCUGACGCUGAGGCGCGAAAGCUAGGGGAGCGAACAGG